GGGACGUCGCGACUGCGCUCCGCUGUGGUCCCGGCCCCGCGUGUGUGGCCGGGCUCCACUCGAGGCUGCACUCAGUGACCCCGGCGAUUGGCGUGGAGAGCACGUAGCAAGAGUCACACCCCCAGCCUAGACCCUGGAGCCGAGCUGGGACGUGGACGCCUCCUCGGCGGGCUUCGCAGGCGCAGCGACCACUAGCUGCACACCCGUGCUGGCUGCAGAUGGCAGGAAGCGUCAUCUGGGGGAGCUGAGUCCCCUGAGCCUUCUCAUCUCCAAGUGCCCAUGUCAACCUUCGCGGCUGGGAGCUCGCCUUCUGACUCAGGCGGUCCUUCAUUUUCUCCAACACCCCCACUAGUCCACCGUCAUAUGCAUUGCGGGUGCUCAGCAGCUUUGGUGUUUGUUGACUGACUAUAAAGACUUGUUCCUACCCCAUCUCAAUUCCUAGAGCUUUCCAUAAACUCUGGAGUGGCUCA